ensembl:lncRNA PRKAG2-AS1 PRKAG2 antisense RNA 1
GCCCCACGCCGCCCUCGUCGCCGCGCCCAGACCCCUGCGGCGGCCGCAGCCGCUUGGGACUCGCUGCGAGCUGGUUUCGGAUCCAUCCCGCCUCCCGGCGUCUCACUGUGUGCCCUACCCUUUGAAACACGCCCCCGCGCCCGCCCUGCCGUAGACCAGGCAGCGAGGAAGCCCACAGUCUCCGGGGGCGCUGCGCGCGAAGUAGCACGUGCUUCUCGAAACACCGCAGCCCCCGGGUCCCGCCCCGCCCGGCGCGCGCACUCGAACCCGCCCAGAGAGCGGUGCGUGGCGCUGGGUGCGAGCAGGGUCUAGCCACCCCCACCCUCACCCCACCCCACCCCACCCUGCUUUUUUCAGGUUCAUCAAGGUUUGCGCAGUGGAUCCGCGCUUACAGUUUUAAUCCUUGUCAAAAUGAUCAUUUGCCAGGGUGCAUAAAACACCCUAUUUGAUGAGAACUGGUUUUAAAGGAAAAUGGGGCCAUCAGAAGGAAGCCGGUUGGUGUGAAGAGACGUCUGGGAAGAGCCCCUGGCGAGGGCCCUCAUUCCACUGGGUGACCCAGAAGGAGAAAACCGCGAUGGCGCUUCUCAUUUGAAAUGUUUUCUUUAUGGACAGUGUUUAGCAAUUGUUAUAAUGUGUACUUUUGUUGAUUGAUCUGUAUACAUAUGUAAAAUAAUUUGUUCUCUGAGUUAAUUUUGUUGGAACAAAGACUUUAGUGCUUCCUACAUUAAAACAUUUUACUGUAUUGCCUGCAUUUUAA